CGCAGUCGGUUCUCAAGUCGAAUUGAAAUCCCCGGGCUCACCGUGGGAGGUGCAUUGGAAACUGGCAGGCUGGAGUCUGUAGAGGGAGGUAGAAUUCCAGGUGUAGCGGUGAAAUGGUAGAGAUCUGGAGGAAUACCGGUGGCGAAGGCGGCCCCCUGGUCGAAGACUGACGCUCAGGUGCGAAAGCGUGGGGAGCAACCAGGAUUAGAUACCCUGGUAGUCCACGCCGUAAACGAUGUCGAUUUGGAGGUUGUGCCCUUGAGCCGUGGCUUCCGGAGCUAACGCGUUAAAUCGUCCGCCUGGGGAGUACGGCCGCAAGGUUGAAACUCAAAUGAAUUGACGGGGGCCCGCACAAGCGGUGGAGCAUGUGGUUUAAUUCGAUGCAACGCGAAGAACCUUACCUGGUCUUGACAUCCACAGAACUUUCCAGAGAUUCAUUGGUGCCUUCGGGAGCUGUGAGACAGGUGCUGCAUGGCUGUCGUCAGCUCGUGUUGUGAAAUGUUGGGUUAAGUCCCGCAACGAGCGCAACCCUUAUCCUUUGUUGCCAGCGGUUAGGUCCGGGAACUCAAAGGAGACUGCCAGUGAUAACCUGGAGGAAGGUGGGGAUGACGUCAAGUCAUCAUGCCCCUUACGCCCAGGGCUACACACGUGCUCCAAUGGCGCAUACAAAGAGAAGCGGCCUCGCGAGAGCAAGCUGUCUUCAUAAAGUGCGUUGUAGUCCGGAUGGGAGUAUCCAUUUCGACUCCAUGAAGUGGGAAUCGUUAGUAAUCGUAGACCAGAAUGCUAGGGUGAAUAGGUUCCGGGCCGUGGUACACACCUCCCGCCACCUCACGGCAUCGCCGUAAAAGAAGUAGCUAGGCUCACCCUUCGG
rnacentral:rRNA from 1 species